GACGAACGCUGGCGGCGUGCUUAACACAUGCAAGUCGAGCGGAAAGGCCCUUCGGGGUACUCGAGCGGCGAACGGGUGAGUAACACGUGAGUAACCUGCCCCAGACUUUGGGAUAACCCUCGGAAACGGGGGCUAAUACCGGAUACGACACAGCUUCGCAUGGGGUCUGUGUGGAAAGUUUUUCGGUUUGGGAUGGGCUCGCGGCCUAUCAGCUUGUUGGUGGGGUGAUGGCCUACCAAGGCGACGACGGGUAGCCGGCCUGAGAGGGCGACCGGCCACACUGGGACUGAGACACGGCCCAGACUCCUACGGGAGGCAGCAGUGGGGAAUAUUGCACAAUGGGCGGAAGCCUGAUGCAGCGACGCCGCGUGAGGGAUGACGGCCUUCGGGUUGUAACCCUCUUUCAGCAGGGACGAAGCGUAAGUGACGGUACCUGCAGAAGAAGCGCCGGCCAACUACGUG
rnacentral:rRNA from 1 species